rnacentral:lncRNA from 1 species
CCUAAUCUAAUGCACCGACCUUUCCUAGCGUAAGUGGUAAAACAGUUUGGAGGUUAGUACCCGAGACCUAAUUUUGAAUCAUAGUUGAUUCACAUUUUCAACUAAAUUUAUUUUUAAAUGAAAUAAACAAAACGGAUAGCAUACUAUCUUUUUUUCAAAAAAAAAAUCUAAUCUAAGCCUUCGCCUGGUAUUAUUGUUAUUAUUAUUAUUUUUUUACACUAUGAUUCUAUAUAAUUUAAGAU